AAAAGUGGCGCACGGGUGCGUAACGCGUAUGCAACCUACCUUAAUCAGGGGGAUAGCCCGGAGAAAUCCGGAUUAACACCGCAUAAAAACACAGGAUAGCAUUAUCCAAUGUUCAAAUAUUUAUAGGAUUAAGAUGGGCAUGCGUGUCAUUAGCUAGUUGGCGGGGUAACGGCCCACCAAGGCGACGAUGACUAGGGGAUCUGAGAGGAUGACCCCCCACACUGGUACUGAGACACGGACCAGACUCCUACGGGAGGCAGCAGUAAGGAAUAUUGGUCAAUGGAGGCAACUCUGAACCAGCCAUGCCGCGUGCAGGAAGACUGCCCUAUGGGUUGUAAACUGCUUUUAUCCGGGAAUAAACCUCUUUACGUGUAGAGAGCUGAAUGUACCGGAAGAAUAAGGAUCGGCUAACUCCGUGCCAGCAGCCGCGGUAAUACGGAGGAUCCAAGCGUUAUCCGGAUUUAUUGGGUUUAAAGGGUGCGUAGGCGGCCUGUUAAGUCAGGGGUGAAAGACGGUAGCUCAACUAUCGCAGUGCCCUUGAUACUGAUGGGCUUGAAUGGACUAGAGGUAGGCGGAAUGAGACAAGUAGCGGUGAAAUGCAUAGAUAUGUCUCAGAACACCGAUUGCGAAGGCAGCUUACUAUGGUCUUAUUGACGCUGAGGCACGAAAGCGUGGGGAUCAAACAGGAUUAGAUACCCUGGUAGUCCACGCCCUAAACGAUGAACACUCGCUGUUGGCGAUACACAGUCAGCGGCUAAGCGAAAGCGUUAAGUGUUCCACCUGGGGAGUACGGUCGCAAGAUUGAAACUCAAAGGAAUUGACGGGGGCCCGCACAAGCGGAGGAGCAUGUGGUUUAAUUCGAUGAUACGCGAGGAACCUUACCCGGGCUUGAAAGUUAGUGAAUGAUUUAGAGAUAGAUCAGUCCGCAAGGACACGAAACUAGGUGCUGCAUGGCUGUCGUCAGCUCGUGCCGUGAGGUGUUGGGUUAAGUCCCGCAACGAGCGCAACCCCUAUGUUUAGUUGCCAGCACGUAUGGUGGGGACUCUAAACAGACUGCCUGUGCAAACAGAGAGAAGGAGGGGACGACGUCAAGUCAUCAUGGCCCUUACGUCCGGGGCUAC
rnacentral:rRNA from 1 species